rnacentral:rRNA from 1 species
AACGCGAAGAACCUUACCUACUCUUGACAUCCAGAGAAGCCAGCAGAGAUGCAGGUGUGCCUUCGGGAACUCUGAGACAGGUGCUGCAUGGCUGUCGUCAGCUCGUGUUGUGAAAUGUUGGGUUAAGUCCCGCAACGAGCGCAACCCUUAUCCUUGUUUGCCAGCACGUAAUGGUGGGAACUCCAGGGAGACUGCCGGUGAUAAACCGGAGGAAGGUGGGGACGACGUCAAGUCAUCAUGGCCCUUACGAGUAGGGCUACACACGUGCUACAAUGGUGCAUACAGAGGGAAGCAAGAGCGCGAGCUGGAGCGGAUCCCAAAAAGUGCAUCGUAGUCCGGAUUGGAGUCUGCAACUCGACUCCAUGAAGUCGGAAUCGCUAGUAAUCGUGGAUCAGAAUGCCACGGUGAAUACGUUCCCGGGUCUUGUACACACCG